AUAAGGAUAAAUGAUGGUUCGUGCAUCUCUAGUAACCGCACUCCUUCUAUUUCCAGUGGGAUAAGGAUAAAUGAUGAUGACAGUGCUCCUACUAAUCAAAGAGAGACAAAUGAAGUGGCAUUGAUAAGUUCUGACAAUGAUGACUUGCUGGCAUUGG